CUACGGGCGGCAGCAGUGGGGAAUAUUGCACAAUGGGCGCAAGCCUGAUGCAGCCAUGCCGCGUGUAUGAAGAAGGCCUUCGGGUUGUAAAGUACUUUCAGCGGGGAGGAAGGGAGUAAAGUUAAUACCUUUGCUCAUUGACGUUACCCGCAGAAGAAGCACCGGCUAACUCCGUGCCAGCAGCCGCGGUAAUACGGAGGGUGCAAGCGUUAAUCGGAAUGACUGGGCGUAAAGCGCACGCAGGCGGUUUGUUAAGUCAGAUGUGAAAUCCCCGGGCUCAACCUGGGAACUGCAUCUAAUACUGGCAAGCUUGAGUCUCGUAGAGGGGGGUAGAAUUCCAGGUGUAGCGGUGAAAUGCGUAGAGAUCUGGAGGAAUACCGGUGGCGAAGGCGGCCCCCUGGACGAAGACUGACGCUCAGGUGCGAAAGCGUGGGGAGCAAACAGGAUUAGAUACCCGAGUAGUC
rnacentral:rRNA from 1 species